UUCUUCUCCAAAUUUCCAUUCCCCAAAACGGCCAUAAACCCCAGCAAUAUGUUGUUUUCCUUAAACCCUCUCUGUGUUUCUAAAACUCAGUUUUCAAUUGCUUACAAAUUUAGUCCAAGGUCUGACGCACAGCUGAAAUGGCCAGGUACUUGUUCUUCUUCUUCUUUUCCUUCUCUUUCUCUUUUUAUCCUAUGGUUUUGUCUGAACUAUCCUCAAACCAACAAACCACUAUGAUCAAUCUCUCCAAGAGUCUAAAUGUCACUAGUAUUUCAUGGGAUAUCAACAAAGAGCCAAACCCAUGUUUAUGGAAAGGAGUUAGCUGCAAGGCCCCUUCCAAUUCAUCUGUUAUCCAAAUUUCCUUAUCUGGGGUUUCUCUAUCUUCCUCAGAUUUUCUGCCCCUUGUUUGCCAGAUUGAGUCUUUGCAGAUUCUUGAUGUUUCAGGCAAUCUUCUGAGCAAAAUCCCAUCUGGGUUUCUCUCAGAUUGUGGAGAACUUGAUGGGCUAAAGCUACUCAAUUUUAGCUAUAACAAUUUGGAGGGUUCUUUGCCUGUAUUUGUUGGUUUUGCUGGGUUGGAGUUCUUAGACUUGUCUCAUAAUAGGUUGAGUGGAGCCAUUGAUUUAGAGUUAGAUGGGUUAGUUGGGCUCAAAAGCUUGAACCUUAGCGUGAACCAUUUCACUGGCUCUGUUCCUACCCGUCUUGGAAAAUCCAAGGUCUUGAAGGUGCUUCAGCUUUCUAUGAAUAAGUUUCAUGGCAUAAUCCCUAUUGAUAUUGUGGGUUACCGCAAUUUGACUCUGAUUGAUUUUAGCUCAAAUAAUAUUUCUGGGUCUGUUCCUGACAGAAUUGGAGAGCUCUCCAAACUUGAGGUUUUGAUUCUGUCGUCCAAUAGUUUAUCUGGAAUCCCACAAAGCCUUUCGAAUAUCACAAGCCUUACCCGUUUUGCUGCAAAUUCUAACAAAUUCAACGGUGCAAUUCCUGCAGGAAUUACAAAACAUCUGAGAAAUUUGGACCUAAGCUACAAUAGCUUAAGUGGUUCGAUUUCAUCGGAUCUUUUGUCCCCAUUGAAUCUGCAGACUGUGGAUUUGUCUAACAAUGGAUUAAGCGGAUCGAUACCUACAGCUCUUUCUCCGAGCUUGGUCAGAUUGAGAUUGGGAAGCAAUUAACUUGAUUAUGUAAUUCCAACUGCGGCCAUUGCGACACUCCAAAACUUAACUUACUUGGAGCUGGAAAACAAUGCAUUGACCGGAUUGAUUUCUCCUGAAUUGGGUUUUUGCCAGAAUUUGAUGCUGUUGAAUUUGGCUGGGAAUCAGCUCUCCGGGUCUCUGCCAAUGGAGUUGGGUAAGCUUAGCCAUCUUCAAGUCUUGAAACUUGAACUUAACCUUUUGACUGGACAAAUCCCAAUUCAAAUUGCUCAAAUGUCGAAGUUGUCGAUUCUGAAUAUCAGCUGGAAUUCUCUGAAUGGUUCGAUACCACCUUCGGUUGCAAGCUUGAAGAAUCUCAUUAACAUGAAUUUACAAGGCAACAAUCUCAGUGGUUCGAUACCGGAAAAUAUUGGCUCCAUGACUUCUCUGAUGGAACUCCAACUUGGAGAAAAUCACUUGAGCGGUGACAUUCCAAGCAUGCCAACUACUCUGCAGAUUGCUUUGAAUCUCAGCAGCAAUCUUUUUGAAGGACAUAUUCCGGUAACUCUUGCCAGGCUCACGGGAUUAGAAAUUCUGGAUCUCUCAAAUAACAAAUUCUCAGGUGAGAUACCCGCAUUUUUUAGGCAGUUGGGAGCCUUGACGCAGUUGUUACUUUCCAACAAUCAGCUCUCUGGAGAAAUUCCAGAAUUUGAUUCUCGGGUCAUCGUCAACAUAAGUGGAAAUGAGGGUUUGACAAAUACUAGUCACACAGAACCACCAACAACUUCACCCAAAUCGGAGAAGGCGAAAAUGUCAUGUGCUGAGAUAAUUUUACUUGCAGUUGUAGCAGCUGUUUUCGCUGUCGGAGGAUGCACCAUCCUUGCUAUAUCACUAUUAGGAUACAAAUUGGUAAAAAAAAGAAAUUGAUUGCUCUUUAGGCGAUGAUGUGGAUUCUUUUACCUAUGCUUUUUACAAGAAAAUGUUUUGUUA